GGCAAGAGAGCUUUCAGAUCCACCGCAGAAAUACUGAAGUCCAUGAUAGAGUCUCUGGCUGGUCAAACCAUACUCAGACCUAUUGUAUGUCCUUACAGCUUGGCUGAAAAACAGAAUUACCAAACAUGACGAGGCAUCUAUACAAAAAUACCUGAGAAUUUAAAUGACAAUGCAUCACGGUGUCUAUACAGAGAGAAUCCUUACCUGUAUCCGAGCUCUCUACAGACCACCUGAGACUCCCGCUCGUGUCUCCAUCCAUAUUCACACACAGACUUAUAGAUACCAGAGGCAUCCAUGAUCUCUAGUC